GAUGAACGCUGGCGGCGUGCCUAAUACAUGCAAGUCGAGCGAACAGAUAAGGAGCUUGCUCCUUUGACGUUAGCGGCGGACGGGUGAGUUACACGUGGAUAACCUACCUAUAAGACUGGGAUAACUUCGGGAAACCGGAGCUAAUACCGGAUAACAUAUUGAACCGCAUGGUUCAAUAGUGAAAGGCGGCUUUGCUGUCACUUAUAGAUGGAUCCGCGCCGUAUUAGCUAGUUGGUAAGGUAACGGCUUACCAAGGCAACGAUACGUAGCCGACCUGAGAGGGUGAUCGGCCACACUGGAACUGAGACACGGUCCAGACUCCUACGGGAGGCAGCAGUAGGGAAUCUUCCGCAAUGGGCGAAAGCCUGACGGAGCAACGCCGCGUGAGUGAUGAAGGUCUUCGGAUCGUAAAACUCUGUUAUCAGGGAAGAACAAAUGUGCAAGUAACUGUGCACAUCUUGACGGUACCUGAUCAGAAAGCCACGGCUAACUACGUG
rnacentral:rRNA from 1 species